UUUUAUUUUUCUUACCGACCUAUCUUCUAUUCCUUCUCCAAAUCCUAGUGAAUCUUAUAUCAAGUGGAAUCCUUAUUUAUCAUCUCAUAGAUCUCUUCUCUUGCUUCUACAAUUGGGGUAUUUAUCAAAAACACGCUGAAUUGAUACACGCUGAAAGCUUAAGCAUUCUAUGGAUUGAAAAUUUUGGGGUAGACAUACCACAAGCAAACUAAUAAAGUUCUCUGAUAAUGGGUUUUGAAUUUUUUUUGCUGAGAUUAGGAUUUCGGUUAUGAAAUUUUGGGGAAAUGAAAAGUGGAUUUGAAGAGAUUCUCAUGUUCGUGACGGUGGUGGUUGAGAAUUUGUGUGAUUGAUAUGAGAAAAUAUUUCUAAAACCAAAAUCAUGUCUGAAAUUGAUUAAUUCCAUUAAAAAAAUACGUUGAAUUUUUGAAAUUCCAGUUUUCAGUGAGUGAUUCCGCUUGUACUUAAUGGAUUGCUUAGGUAUUAAAAGAGGUGAGGUUAUGUCUGAAAGAUGAAGAACAUAGUAAGAAGAUGGUGGUGUUUAUGGAGACAUCGAGUAGUUGAUGAUAUUGAUGAAGAAUAGAGAGAAGAAUGAGAUGCUGUUGCCAUUGAUUAAAUUGAUAGACGGAGGAGACUAAUAUGAGUAAUCAAGUCGCAGGCCAAGUGCUCGACAGAAUUACCCGACUAAGACCUUGUUUGUUUGCAGCUGACUCGGUGUCUGGAUCUGAGUCAAUCCCUGACUCGCACCGAGUCAGCACUUAGACUGUUUGGUUUGCAUUUUUUAUAAUAUCUGACACGGCAUCUGAGUCGUGCCUAACCCCUGACUCGGUCCCUGUAGAGUCAGGCAUGGAAAUGCUCCUGAGUCGGUGCCUAUUACCCCUGAGUCAUAGAAAUUGACAAAAAUGCCCUCGAUAUUAUAUCAAAAAAUUACAUUUCUUCUUUUCUCAUUUUCUUCGUUUGUUCCGUCAAGAGGAGAGAUGGGAGAUAAGCAACCAAACCCGAUCUCCAUCAUCGCCCUCAUCUGAUAUCUCCUUCGUCUUCAACUGAUAUUCUCCCUCAUCACCUCAUCUCAUCUUUUGAUCUGUUUCAUAUCAUCUAAAAGCUUCCUUUUGAAUCAUCAUCAUCUUCAGGUAUAAUAUCCUGGUUAGUGCUACCAAAUCAUCAGGGCUAGUUCGCAUAUAACCUUAUACAUUAUCUCAGUAGGCAGACAUUUGUUUCCAUCACUGGAUCCUAAAGCAGUUCUCUAUGGAGAAAAAAGAAGAUGAAAAAGCAAAUAAGAUAACUUUUAGGAGCAUCCCAGCAUUUAGAGGAUUAUUUAUUGACCAAUGUUUGGCACAAGCUACUGAGCAUGGGUUUUCUGAAACUUCUUUGAAGCAAACUUCGUGGGGAAAUUUGUGCAAAUACUUUUCUGAGAAGUAUGACUGCACUAUCACCCAAAAGAAAUUGAGAAACCACUGGGAUUACUUGCGCACCCAAUAUGUCACUUGGUCCCGUCUCUUAGCAAGAACCGGGCAUGGGUACAACGCGGAGACGAACACUUUUGAUUGGAGCGAAGAGCAGUGGAUUGAAUUAGACAAGACAAUCAAAAACGCCAGUCAAUUCAAGAACAAGGGACUGGAAGAUGCAGAGAAGUUGCAGAAUUUAUUCGAUGGGAAGUUCUCUACUGGAGUUAAUAGGGAUACGCCUGGAAGAACGGAACCACCUUAUGUUGAAAUGCAUAUUUAGUUAUUUAAAAAAAUAAAAAAAAAGAGAAGGCAAGAAAUCGUUUUCAUUGAAAUAAUUCAGUCCACCAGGGCAGAUGUUUAAUACGGAUGUCUCAAAAAAAUAGUACCUACCUUCUAUCAAAUCAUAAAUGUUUCCAAA